rnacentral:rRNA from 1 species
UACAGAGGUGCUCAAGCGUUGAUUCGGAUUCACUGGGCGUAAAGGGUGCGCAGGCGGCCAAGUGUGAUGAGGCGGUGAAAAGCCCCGGGGCUUAACCCCGGAAUUGCACCUCAAACUACAUUGGCUAGGAGCAUUGGAGAGGGAAGCGGAAUUCACGGUGUAGCAGUGAAAUGCGUAGAUAUCGUAAGGAAGACCAGUGGCGGAAGGCGG